rnacentral:tRNA from 1 species
GAGGAUAUAGCUCAGUGGUAGAGUGUGUGCUUAGCAUGCAUGAGGUCCUGGGUUCAAUCCCCAGUACCUCA